UACGUAGGGGGCGAGCGUUGUCCGGAAUUACUGGGCGUAAAGGGCGCGUAGGCGGUCUAAUAAGUCAGAUGUGAAACCCCCGGGCUUAACCCUGGGCUUGCAUUUGAAACUGUUGGACUUGAGGACAGGAGAGGAAAGCGGAAUUCCCAGUGUAGCGGUGAAAUGCGUAGAUAUUGGGAGGAACACCAGUGGCGAAGGCGGCUUUCUGGACUGCACCUGACGCUGAGGCGCGAAAGCCAGGGGAGCGAACGGG
rnacentral:rRNA from 1 species